rnacentral:rRNA from 1 species
AUUGAACGCUGGCGGCAUGCCUUACACAUGCAAGUCGAACGGUAACGCGGGGCAACCUGGCGACGAGUGGCGAACGGGUGAGUAAUACAUCGGAACGUGCCCAGUAGUGGGGGAUAGCCCGGCGAAAGCCGGAUUAAUACCGCAUACGACCUACGGGUGAAAGCGGGGGAUCGCAAGACCUCGCGCUAUUGGAGCGGCCGAUGUCAGAUUAGGUAGUUGGUGGGGUAAAGGCCUACCAAGCCUACGAACUGUAGCGGGUCUGAGAGGGCGACCAGCCGCACGGGGACUGAGACACGGCCCAGACUCCUACGGGAGGCAGCAGGGGGGAAUUUUGGACAAUGGGCGCAAGCCUGAUCCAGCCAUGCCGCGUGCGGGAAGAAGGCCUUCGGGUUGUAAACCGCUUUUGUCAGGGAAGAAACGCUCUGGAUUAAUACCUCGGGGUAAUGACGGUACCUGAAGAAUAAGCACCGGCUAACUACGUGCCAGCAGCCGCCGUAACAC